UCUAACCUGAACCUCCCCUGGCACAACUUGAGGCCAUCACCUCUCAUCCUAUCACUGGCUGAGGCUGAUUUACUGAAUGCUUGGGCUCUGAUUCACACCUUAUUCAGGCUCAUGGAAACCUGGAGGAAUUUCUGUAGAGUCAACCCUGACACAAUUAAUGGAAAACCUGAGUGAAGUCAGACCCUGGGGGUUAUUUUUUGGGCCUAGAUGAUGCUUCACCCUCCUGGAUUCUGGGACUGGGAGGUUCAUGUUCCCUAAGCUACAGCCUUCUGGAUGUUCAUAAGGCUGCUGUUCAUUUGCUGCAGAAUGAAGUACUGUAGGUAAAGAUUUGCAUUUCCAUUGGUAGCCCCAGCUGCAGCCUCAUGUCUUCCUUGCUGCUUUGCAAAUAGCUUGGAGUGAGCCUGCUGCCGCAGGAGCAGAGAAGGAUGUGAUCCAUUUUCUUUGCUUUUCAAGUCCUGUGGUCCCCUUCUUCAAGCCUCUGACAUCCCCCCGUUUAUUGUAAUCAGCACGACAAAAGGGAAGUCGUUCCUUUAUUGGAGGUUAUCCGUGUCAGGGGAAGUUAUGUUCCCAUCGCUACCUGGGGGCCCAUCAGCAGAUAAAGAUGGAGAGCAGUGACUCAGAAUGACUUUGAAGCAACACCCAGCAGCAACUGAAGACAAGAACAUAACCUUAGCUGACGUUUAAUAUAACCCGAUACACAAAUAAAGCCAUUCCACUAAAUUAUGCAUCCUUUUACUCUUGGCUGUUGUUAAAGGAAGGGGACAGGGUGAGUGUUCUCUCCGUGUGUUUCUUCCUUUCCAGUGUCGGGAGCUGAGUGACAGAUGCAUGCUGAUGGAGCACAGCACAUUGAUUUUUGCUGCUGCAGUACUUUAUGCUCAAAGAAAUACAGCUUUUACAACGAUGGAGGACCCCUAUUCAGAGAAAACAGACUUCUUCACCUCCCAGAGACAAACAUCCCUGAAGAACCCUUUGAGCAUUUCCCUCAGCUGAAGAGAAGGGAUGUCUGAUUGUCAUUGUCCCAUCCAAAUGCCUGCACAAUUAGCUGCAAAACAUUUUGGUAUCUAAGGGCAGAACAGCCAAGGGAAAAAAUGCUCUCUAGACCUUGAAAGGUGCAUUGUCCUCUGACAAUGGAAAUCUGUAGCCGUAGGUCUUGUGGUAUUUAGAAAUCAGUAGAUUUACUAAUUAACAUUGCUCACUCAAUUAAAAAGCCCUUGAUCUGAGCCUGCCGAUAGGUUUUUGGUAUCCAUAAAAAUCUCUGCCUUGUGUUAGAAGAUUUAGCAAUUUCUUUCUUUACUUUUAGACCAAGGCUCAGUGGGAUGAGACACGGGUCAACAAAACAAGCUUUGGUGCUCCACUGGGCUGGCUGCAGAGGCUGUCCUGGGCUGCAGCUGGGAAGGGACUUAACUGCAAUAAUAUACUAGGCUGGGUAAUUACUGGAUUAAGGGUGGGUGGUGUAGUGCUGGGGGAUGGCACUGACUGAAGAUAAAGUCUUGUAAGAAGAAGGCAGUAGGGCCAGAGGAAGAGUGGCAAAGUCAUUCAUGAUGCCUCUUUAUGAAAGGUCCCACAGCUUGUGAAAUGAGGCAGAUGCAAGCUAGGUUUUACUUUAUUCUAUUAGGGCUAUAUCCAAGGCUUUUGUAUUUCACCUUGUAACAGGGUAAAGACCAUCAGUGCUACACUGCCUUUCUUUCACCUCUUGCUAUAAAUACAUGCUUGUGAGAAGGCUCUUCACAGCCCACUUUGUUUGCAUGUUAAUUAUUUUAUCUGUCUGGCACUUUUCAUCUGUUGAGUCUGUUGUUGUUUUCCAGUGGUAAAUUCAAGCUGAGCAUCACCAGGAACUGGUCUUCAUAAGUUUUAUGUGGGAAAUUCAAAUAUAGUUUUCUCCGCGAGAAAAAACCCGCGAGAAGUGAAAGACUAGAAAAAGACAUUUUAUCCUAAGAUCAUAAGCACAGCAUGAAGCAAAGAUCUCUUGAGUUGACAUAAGUCCAGAUCUUUGCAGCAUUAAGGCUUAUUUCAGGGAAUUUCUUAAGGAGUUGAGGCCCAUAUAUGCCCCCCAUUUAGAAAUCUUUUUUCUCUUGCAAGGUUCGCUAUCACGCUGAAGUCAUGAGCCAUAAUAAAAUCUCCGAUCAUGCUCCUUUUUUU